GGAAUAGAGCCGUAUCCACGGAAUGCUUCCCAGCGAAUCCAACAAGUCUUACACAACCUUAUCCCAAAGAACAGAGCCACCAAAGUCUCACCUCCUCCUAAAUUUUCUCUUCCGAAUCAGGCCAGCUUCUUCCGCUAGAUCCCGUCCAUGAUCUUCUCUUCAUCCCAUUCGGAUUGGUUCCAUCUCCACGGGAUAAACUCAAAUCCCCUGUUCCGUGCGUCCCUUCCCUUCCGGAUGAGAACCAGCAACCUUCUGCCGGAUUACUCCCAAUGUCCAAGCUUCAUCUCAGCUCCAUGGAUUGCUAUCCCGGCUAGGAACGAAGUUCCAGCUCCCAGCAACCUCACGCGUCUUCUCCGCGAUUCAUCCUCAUCUUCUCUCAGCCGUGAGCAUCCACGCCAUCCUUUGCAUCCUAUCUUUGAUUCGAAAGAGGGGAGGAGAGAGAAGUGGGCAGGCUAUAAAAGGGAGUCGAUACAUGAAGGCUAGAGGCAUUCCUUCUUCCCCACCGGGGGCUGAUCCCAUCAAACUCUUCUCCGAGGCCGAAUCACAAGAAUAAAAGGAGAGAGAUUAUUUUGGGUAUUAUAGGAAGAACUUCCCAUGGAAAGAAAAAAAAUGAAAUGGAAUGAGGGGAGAUUAGCCGGAGCUUCUUCCAUCAUCACGACGUAUUCUUCUCUUCUUUCCGGCCGCCACCUCCCUCGGAAGAAGUCAGUCAUGCCGUCUUCAUUCCGCUGUGCUGCUAUCGUCCACUUCUACAUGGAGGGCUGAUCUCUUCACCAGGGCCGGAUGCAGCCCUAACGAAGGGCCAAGGGUUUUGUAUUUUUGAUUUCUAUUCUUGGAGAUGUAUAAGCUUUAUUUUGUUCUUAAUGAAU
rnacentral:lncRNA from 1 species